UUUCUACUCCCUCCGUCCGAAAAUACUUGUAUCUAAAACUAAAAUACGUCUAGAUACAUUUCCUUUUAUCCAUUUUGAUGACAAGUAUUUUCGGACGGAGGGAGUAUUUG
rfam:Triticum aestivum genome assembly, contig: Triticum_aestivum_CS42_TGACv1_scaffold_345851_4DL